AUUGAACGCUGGCGGCAGGCCUAACACAUGCAAGUCGAACGAGUGGCGGACGGGUGAGUAAUGUCUGGGAAACUGCCUGAUGGAGGGGGAUAACUACUGGAAACGGUAGCUAAUACCGCAUACCAUCGGAUGUGCCCAGAUGGGAUUAGCUAGUUGGUGGGGUAACGGCUCACCUAGGCGACGCUCCCUAGCUGGUCUGAGAGGAUGAGCAGCCACACUGGAACGGAGACACGGUCCAGACUCCUACGGGAGGCAGCAGUAGGGAAUAUUGCACAAUGGGCGAAAGCCUGAUGCAGCAAUGCCGCGUGUAUGAAGAAGGCCUUCGGAUUGUAAAGUACUUUCAGCGAGGAGGCGUUACUCACAGAAGAAGCACCGGCUAACUCCGUGCCAGCAGCCGCGGUAAUUC
rnacentral:rRNA from 1 species